rnacentral:rRNA from 1 species
GACGAACGCUGGCGGCGUGCUUAACACAUGCAAGUCGAACGGAAAGGCCCUGCUUUUGUGGGGUGCUCGAGUGGCGAACGGGUGAGUAACACGUGAGUAACCUGCCCUUGACUUUGGGAUAACUUCAGGAAACUGGGGCUAAUACCGGAUAGGAGCUCCUGCUGCAUGGUGGGGGUUGGAAAGUUUCGGCGGUUGGGGAUGGACUCGCGGCUUAUCAGCUUGUUGGUGGGGUAGUGGCUUACCAAGGCUUUGACGGGUAGCCGGCCUGGGAGGGUGACCGGCCACAUUGGGACUGAGAUACGGCCCAGACUCCUACGGGAGGCAGCAGUGGGGAAUAUUGCACAAUGGGCGGAAGCCUGAUGCAGCAACGCCGCGUGCGGGAUGACGGCCUUCGGGUUGUAAACCGCUUUCGCCUGUGACGAAGCGUGGGUGACGGUAAUGGGUAAAGAAGCACCGGCUAACUACGUG